UCGCUCCAGCUUCGGCAGCACAUAUACUAAAAUUGGAAUGAUACGGAGAAGAUUAGCAUGGCCUUUUUAUCAUAAGAAUAAAAAUAAUGUACUCUUAUUUUAU